AGUGAACGCUGGCGGCAGGCCUAAUACAUGCAAGUCGAACGGCAGCACGGCAGAGCUUGCUCUGUGGGUGGCGAGUGGCGGACGGGUGAGGAAUACAUGGGAAUCUGCCCAGUCGUGGGGAUAACGUAGGGAAACUUACGCUAAUACCGCAUGCGCCCUUCGGGGAAAGCCGGGGACCGUUCGGGCCUGGCGCGAUUGGAUGAGCCCAUGUCGGAUUAGCUAGUUGGCGGGGUAAUGGCCCACCAAGGCGACGAUCCGUAGCUGGUCUGAGAGGAUGAUCAGCCACACUGGAACUGAGACACGGUCCAGACUCCUACGGGAGGCAGCAGUAGGGAAUAUUGGACAAUGGGCGCAGGCCUGAUCCAGCCAUGCCGCGUGAGUGAAGAAGGCCCUCGGGUUGUAAAGCUCUUUUGUCCGGAAAGAAAAGACGCCGGGUUAAUACCCUGGUGUCCUGACGGUACCGGAAGAAUAAGCACCGGCUAACUUCGUGCCAGCAGCCGCGGUAAU
rnacentral:rRNA from 1 species